rnacentral:rRNA from 1 species
GACGAACGCUGGCGGCGUGCCUAAUACAUGCAAGUCGAGCGAAGUUUUUCUGGUGCUUGCACUAGAAAAACUUAGCGGCGAACGGGUGAGUAACACGUAAAGAACCUGCCUCAUAGACUGGGACAACUAUUGGAAACGAUAGCUAAUACCGGAUAACAGUAUUUCUCGCAUGAGAGAUAUUUAAAAGUUGGUUAUGCUAACACUAUGAGAUGGCUUUGCGGUGCAUUAGCUAGUUGGCGGGGUAAAGGCCCACCAAGGCGACGAUGCAUAGCCGACCUGAGAGGGUGAUCGGCCACACUGGGACUGAGACACGGCCCAGACUCCUACGGGAGGCAGCAGUAGGGAAUCUUCCGCAAUGGGCGAAAGCCUGACGGAGCAACGCCGCGUGAGUGAAGAAGGAUUUCGGUUCGUAAAGCUCUGUUGUUAGGGAAGAAUGGAUAUGUAGUAACUAUACAUGUAAGAGACGGUACCUAACCAGAAAGCCACAGCUAACUACGUG